GUGCCAGCAGCCGCGGUAAUACGGAGGAUGCAAGCGUUAUCCGGAUUUAUUAGGUUUAAAGGGUGCGUAGGCGGAGACUUAAGUCAGUGGUAAAAGGCAAUAGCUUAACUAAUGUAAGCCAUUGAUACUGGGUUUCUUGAGUUCGGUAGAGGUAGGCGGAAUGUGUUGUGUAGCGGUGAAAUGCAUAGAUAUAACACAGAACACCGAUUGCGAAGGCAGCUUACUAUGCCGUUACUGACGCUGAUGCACGAAAGCGUGGGGAUCAAACAGGAUUAGAUACCCCCGUAGUCC
rnacentral:rRNA from 1 species